rnacentral:misc_RNA from 1 species
AAUAUCUAAACGGGUGAUUCUUUUAAAAUGUUGACGUGAUAACUUCACAUGUUUGAUCAUAUUUUACGCUCAUAAUGAAUCUUUUCGGUAGUGUCCUGUUACACAUUUCUCUUUAUUCUCUCGUUUUUAACUUAGAUUUAAUCGAUGAAACAUCUGAUGGUGGCUGGUAAGAGUUAAGAAAUAGCUUUUCUUAUUUCUUGAGUGAUAAUGGGGGGUUUUUAGGUCUGAUCAUUCAUAUUCCCGAUCGCUUUAUGUGGAAGAAGGGCCGUGUACAAUAGUCAAGAAAAAAUAUAACGAUUUAUCACAGGAUGAAUUCAUAAAAUCGUAAGAAACUUGAAACAAUUAUCCAAUAUUUCAUUUUUUACUUUGCGGCAUAGAUACGCAUCUGGUAUAGGACAACCGAUCAUAAUACAAGCUGGAAGUUUUAACAAGAAAUUUCAAGAGAUGUGUAAAAAAUGUAAUCUCAUUGAAAAAUAUGGCGAUAAAAUAAUAGUAUUAAGUACAGCCAACUCGUAUUCGUAUAAUAAAGCUAAAAUAAAAUUUUCCGAAUACGCUGAAAAGUACGUAAAACAGCAAGAUUCGACUAUAGAAGGAUCAAGUACAUAUUAUUGGUUUGGAGAUAAUAAUCAUACAGAAUGGGCUGAACUCUUUGAUAUGUAUAAUCAGCCGCCAUAUAAAAUUCCAAAGUUAACGGGAGCUUUAAGCUUUGGUGUUGCCGGCGCUUUGACUGGAGUGCCUUUUCACAUUCAUGGACCAACCUUCGCCGAAACUAUUUACGGUCGUAAACGUUGGUUCCUUUACCCUCCGUCGGCGUCACCGCAAUUCAACCCUGAUUCUACAACUUUACUAUGGAUACUAGAAUCCUAUCCAAAAUUGGAGGAGGCGGAAAAACCAUUAGAAUGUACACUAAAACCCGGAGAAAUCUUAUUUAUUCCUGAUAGGUGGUGGCAUGCUACAUUAAACUUGGAUAAUGCAGUUUUCAUAUCUACAUUUAUGGGAUAAAGAGAUUCGUUGAAAACAAAAGAUCUAUGCCAUCUGUAUUCAUUUAUGAAGAGAAUUUUUAGUUGAAAAUUUAUAAUUUAUUCUUAAUGAAGUCAUUAUUUAUUUAUUUAAUUAAUUAAAUAAAACAACUAUUACAACAAUAGCCAAUAUUGGAAAAGUAGAAGACUACGAACUAAUUAUUAACCUUUUUACAAAUGUAUCUUAAGAAUAUGAUAGAGGUUUUAUAUGGAAAAUUUUAUAAACAAAUUGCUGUAAACAUAAACAACUUUUCAUUCUGACAGUCAAAAUCCUAAAAAGAACAAUUAUAGAUUAUAUUUCCUGCAAUAU